UAUUUUUUAUGUCUACUUAUUUUUCAUACACAUUGUGCAUUUUUGUAACAUUUUGCAAAUGCAUGAUUAAUAUUUUCAAAUUUAUAUGCAGACUAAACAGAAGUACUUAUAAACAAAAGUAAGAAAAUAAAGCAAAAAACAAAAACAAACUACAUGAAAAAACAAGUUGUGCUGUUGCCUUGAGCGCGCCUGAGCCGGCCCAUCUCGCGAUUGCUUUAGGCGAGGCUGCCCUUACGUCUCGCGUCAAGCGAGACAUAGGCGCGCCAACUAAACAGGCUUAACUGAACGUUGAUGACGUCAACAGAUUGAGAAAUACAUAUUUUUGGAUCAGCUAAGUUCUAGGCACUCCCUAUAUGUAAUAUACAAUGUAUGUACAUCGGUCUCAUUACUAGUAUACAGAGAUAGUAAAUUGCGCAUCCAGUUUGAUUCGUUCAACGACAAUGGCUUCGCCUUUGGUGAGCCACCUUGGAGGUCCACAAAGCUGCAUAUCAGCAAUGGAGCCGCGUCGAGUUCGGGUGAGAAGGUGAUCCAUCAUUUUUUUUUGGUGGCUGCUGUGGUGGUGUCGGAGACAGGUGACGGGCGUUCGUGUAAGCUUUGGGUAUUCUUCGGUCCUGAUUGUAUUCCUUUUUCUUGGUUGAUAUUUCUUUGUGCAAAGGCUAGUGUUCUGCUGUCUUUUUCAUUUUGUCAGGUCGGUCUCUAGCUACGUGACUUGUACUAUGAUCUUUAUGAUUUAUAAAUGAGACACAUAUUACCAUGUAAAGAAGUAAAUUGGGCACAAUCAACUAUUUUUAUUGCUAUCGACCAAUUCACAUGAUUUUAUGGAUCGGCGUUGUGAACACUUCACUAAACUAAGCAUGCUAAGCAUGAAUAGUAAAUUCAAAACCAAUAGUACAAGAAUUAAAAUAAAUCUAAUUUUUUUACACUAAAUGAGACGUGCUUACAAUUUUUUGUGCUGAGAUGACCUCGAAGGAGUUCCGUCCAAAAAAAUAAAUAAAUAAAAUCAGAGUUUAGAAAACUCGAGAAAGAUUGGACAUUUUGAAGCUUCGACUUUGAUUUUUUUGGACGGAGCUCCUUCCAAAGUCAUCUCAGGAUAAAUUUUUGCAAGCUCCUAGAAAGGUCCACCAUUUUUAGUGUAAACAUUUUAUUUAUUUAUUUAUUUAUCGGCUAUUUAUUUUCUAAUUACUAUUCACCAUGUAGCAAAUGAGCUCGGGCUCAGCUUUGAAUCUUUGCAAAUACUCUGCAUUCUAUCACUCCUUUGCCCGAAUCUCAAUGGAACCCAGGGUUAGGAUAAGGAGAGUGAGUACGAGAGCGGCGAUGUAGCGGACGGGCGCGCCUGCUCCCGCUACGUCUGCCAAUCGAAGAAGGACAUGUUGGGCCGGGCAUUGAAUGCCAGCAUAGAAGGCAGGUGCAGCAUACGUAAUGUGGAACAGUGGUAUACGUUCAGGGCGCCGUUUCAUGUGACGAUGCCGUCACGGCACACCGUCCACAUGUUCUCACGGUACAGGACAGCGAGCUAAAGUUCAAAACAAACCUAAUAGGAUCAAUGCCUGCAACUGCGUGGGAGAUCCAUCCAAUACUGCUGCAGGGCUCCACAUAUUCAAGUGAUGAAGACUACAGCUGUGAGAUGAACAUCAAACUUGGUGCGACGAUCUUAUCAAUCGCAUGUUUGAAACCGUCGACGAAGACGCUGCAGUUUUGUACACUUGUUAAUUCAUGAAUAAGCUGGCUACGGCACAACAAGCCAGCCUCACAGCAGGCGGCUGCUCUGCUUCACUUGCUGUAACUGCAUGUGCAAAUGUACGGCCGAAUGGACAAACAGCACAACUAAUGCAUGAACAUAAGUUGGCCCAAGCACGCCUGGAGAAGCAGCAUGCACAUGCUAACCCCACUCCAACACCAAACUGCUCAACAUGCGUCAACUUGACACUGGAAAGGCCAAAUGGAUCACAAUUUGAAGGUGGAUUUGCACUGUCGCUUCUGCAGCUGGCUGAUCGACAGCACGUUGAAAAAAACCCUGAAGCCACACUCAGGCCUCGUUUGGUUGCAAGGUAUCCCGGGGGGAUCCCCGCUGUUUCCGCUGGUCAGAGAACCACGGGCCGGGUUGGCCCAGGGAAAUCGAGAUGGUCAUUUGGACCGCAUCCUUCGAGGGCUAACCCUGCCCGACCCACGACCUUACCACGGGAAGGAAAGCCACGACCCGACAGGUCGGGGAGGAAAGCCACGGCUCGAGCGGCAGACGAGUGAACGACGCGCCGUCGACCAAGAUCCGCUGCCGCCGCCGCCGACGGCAGAAGCGACGCCCCCCGACCCCUCCCUCCGGUGUUCAGGAUCCAACAUCCUCCCCUCCAGCGACGGCGACGGACCGCGGCCGUCAUUGUCCUCCUUCCCCGGAUCUCCCCUCCACCUCGAAGCUCCGACCCCCUUCGGCGACCACGACGGCGACGGUUUUGUGGUUGUUUUCUACCUCCUCCGGUCAAGGAAGUGAGCACCGCCUCGUUCUCUCAGAUCAUUCCCACCAUUGUUAAUCACCGGUUUCCUAAAGCUAACCAAUGAAAAUGUCCAAAGAAGUUGAUGGUGGAAGUUUCAGUAGAGUGAUUAUUCCAAUGACAACACAUUUCCCCAUGGAUCAGUCACAUAUGCACAUCUUUUUAAUGGAACUAUAUGUGUUGUUCCCCUCCUUGGAGGCGUCGGUAUGGACUGAUCCCCUCACUUCCCCUGCCCCUAGGUCUCCCGGGCGAAAGCCCUAACUUUGUUGGGCGGCGGCGGCGCUCUUGGCGCCGUUCUCUUCUUGAAGGCGCCGCUUUGUGAGGCUUGUGGUCGGGUGGCGCUUGUGCGUGGUGGGUGGUGGCGGCGGUGUGGCCCUCUUGUCCUAACGUGAAACUUCCCCCUCCGGUGUUGGAUGUGUGCAGUGGCGAUGUUCUGCUCAAGGAGAGCCUCCGACGUCUCGUUGGGGAUGCGCUGACCCUCUCUAUGUGGCCAUCUUCCCGCAGCAUCCAUCUCAUCUUGCGACGGUGCGGCACCUUCAAUCUAGGCAAGGAGGUAGUGGCCUUCUUCGAAGAUAAUGGACGGGAGUGCCGUGCCGGGGCCCGUAGGUGCAUGGCGACAACAUAUGCCCCGCUGGUGUCGCCCCCUCUCUCCUCCGAACCAGUGUGAUAUUGUUCCUGGUGCAGCAUUCUUGGAGGAGGUCCUCGUUGUCUUCGGCUUCGUUCUCUUUUGAUUAUCUCCAGUUUCCGUAGCGUGUGAGGAGUGGUUUGGUGUUGUCCAUCGUUUAUGUAUCUUACCACCGUGUUGUUCUUUCUUUUGCAUGAGGGCGUUUGUUUGUAAUCUGGCCAGUUGAUGGCUUUGUUAAUUCAAAGUCGGGCUAGGCUCGAGCCCCAUCUUGGGCUCGGCUGAUGCCUUUUCUUGUC